CCGGCGAUGUCCGAAUGGGGAAACCCAGUGCAAUUCGUUGCACUAUCGUUAACUGAAUACAUAGGUUAACGAGGCGAACCGGGGAACUGAAACAUCUAAGUACCCCGAGGAAAAGAAAUCAACCGAGAUUCCCCAGUAGCGGCGAGCGAACGGGGAGCAGCCCAGAGUCUGAAUCAGCUUGUGUGUUAGUGGAACGGUCUGGAAAGUCCGACGGUACAGGGUGAUAGUC
rnacentral:rRNA from 1 species